ensembl:snRNA U6 U6 spliceosomal RNA
GUGCUCACUUCAGCAGCACAUAUGCUAAAAUUGAAAUGAUACGGAGAAGAGUAGCAUGGCCCCUGCACAAGGAUGACAAAUUCGUGAGUCAUUCCAUAUUUUU